GGCCCCUCGCUCCCACACCCGCCCGGGCCCGGGUCACAGCGGAGCCGGCCGGUGGGCGCGCCCGUGCGGCCGCACGGACAGCUCGUGGAAGGAGCCCACCAGGUGUGGGCACACCCUCCCUGCAGGCCCCGGGGCGCACCUUGCUCCUCCUGACUUGUGAGAGGCGGGGAGAGAACAGAAGGUGGAAGCGAAGUUGCAGAACCUCUGCCACUGGCAGAGCUCCCGCUGUACCCUGCUGGGGCCAGUGCCUUACUCCAGAGGUCCCCAACCUAUGGGGUGCUCCUGCUGCUCCCCAUUGUGUGGACUGAGAAACCAAAGCCUGGAGGGACGGGUGCCCUGCCAGGCUGCGCAUCUGUGCCUGGGCCCUCAACCCCAUGGAAGGCCAGAGGUGGUGACCACUGCGCGUGCCCGGGAGUCACCCAGGCUCCUGCAGCCUGAGCAUGCCGGGUCCCAAGCACAGGCCCCCUCAGUCCCAUCCCAGAACUGGAGCCCUCUCCCACCCUCACACCCCUUUCCUGGGAAGCAGCGUGAAGUCACAGGAAGAACAGGGGCUUUGGAGCCCGGAGACCUGCGCUGAAGCUUGUUCUGCAGGUGCCAGCUGUGUGAUCUUGGGCAAGUCAUUCAACUGCACUCAUGCCCAGCCUGAGAUCCAGGAGAGCCAGACGUGGUGUGACUGAAGGGAACCUCGAAGGCUGCAAGAAGAGGUGGCGCUUUGCUGACCUUGAAUGUGGUGGCAUGUUUCUUACACUGCAGAUUUUACAUGUGCUGCAGAUUAUAGUAAUUGUCGCUACCUUUAUGGAGGCUGGUUCUUCACCCACAUCCAUUCACCAAAUGUGUAUUGAGAGCCUUCUGGGUGCCAGGUUCCCUGCCGGGAGCUGGGCACAGCCCUGAACAACGGUGACUGCCCAGCUGCGGGAGAAUGGACUUCAAACACCCUCUGAGUGCACGUUAAGGUGAGCCCAUCGGGCAUCCCAGGGUGGGGUGGCAGGGCGUCCUCCCUGACGCAGGCAGUAAGCGGGGGCGUCUCAGUAACAGCUUUUAAAACAAUAAGAACCAACUAAAAACCAGUCUGCUCUUCAUUAUCACUAAGCACAAUUCUAAACAGCGUCCUUCCCCCAAAUUCUUUUGGUGGUUUAAGACCUCAACAAUUGCUUUAGUUGCUAUUGACUUUUACUAAUACAUAUGGAAGUCUCAAAUUAACACAUUUUUAUUACUUAUGCUUUAACAAACAUUGCAUGCUACUUGAAAUUAAUUGGGAGAAUUCCCAGUUAUUUAGCCACUCCCCAACGCUGGGAGACAGCUUCCCAUGUUUGGCGGAUUCAGAAUUGUUUACACUCACUGCAAAGUUGUCUGGAAUCCCUGUUGUACUAUAUUGUCCCGUGGUUAAACAUUGAGUUUGAAAUAAAUGUUGAUAGCAUAAUUUUAUGUGACCACCUGGAGUUUUUAUUUGUUUAAAAAUUUUGAGGGGGGAAGAUAUUUGAAAGCCAUUACAAUUAAUCCUAAAGAAAAACACAGAUAUUGACAUUACUGUAAUCUGUAAUUUCUAGAAUUUGUUAUGAAAUGAAUUUUUUCUGAAUUUCUGCCAAACUUAUCCUUCUGUUUAAGGCUUUCCUUAAUUAUUUGUGUAUCUAUUGCUUCAUGUGAAAAGAAAUAGUGCCAAAUAAAAAUUUUAAAAAUUUUUGGUCAAUUAUGAUUGAAGAUAGAUUGACAAAACUGCCUACACUAUUUUUAGAACAUGAAUAUGAGAAGAUCAAUUUUGACAAAGUCUUGACAAAUUUGCAGAAGUCUGGAAAACAAAGUGUAAUGUUAUUCAUUACUGCAACAGAUGUAGGUAUAUAUUUUCCCUCUUGUCAAAAAAUGAAUUAAUUUAAUUAAAAAGCAAUAACCCACUACUUUUUUUGUUCUAUCAUAUUUGUAUUAGUUUUUACUAGGAUGAUUAUAUGAAAUUCAGUAAAAGAAAAAUCUAACUGUAUUUUUGUUGGCUGACAUUAUUAUUCAUGUCACAAUUAUCACUGGAAGUAAUGUUGUAUAGAGGAGAGGUGUUUUACCUGCUCUGGUGUGGAACACUACAGGUGUGGCACUGCAGUGAGGAAGGCGUCCCAGAGAGAGCGACAUGCCGAGGGUGAGCCGCGGACAGCUGGAAAAAGAGGGUGGAGGGUGCUCCCGGCAGGGGGAGGAGUGAAGGCCCGAGUCAAGGAGAAGCUUGGUGUGUAGAGGAAGCGCCACCACGCUGUAGCCACAGCAGGGGCCAUAUGAUUCAGGCAGCACUUGGUUGAGGUGUGAGAAAAUGCAAAAUAGUGACUUAAGUUAGAUCCCGUAACAGUUUCCAAUAACCAAAGCCCCAAGGUAGGUAGGCAGUCCAGGGCUAGCGUGUGUCCCAGAGUCAGGGACCAGGCUCCUUCUGUCUUAGGAUUCAGGCUCAGCACUGGCUUCCUCCACAUCGCCCAAGGUGGCUGCUAGAGUGUCAGCCAUCGUGUCUGCAUUCUUGUAAGCAAGAAAGAGGAAGGGGCAAAAGACCCACGCCAUCCUCACAUGAGACCAGAACAUGCUGCCUGUAUCCAUUUGGCCAGGAUUUAGUCAUGUGGCCCCAACUAGCUACAAGGGAAGUUGGAAAGUGGGCUCUUUAAAUGGUUGUGCCCAACUAUAAAUAGGAAGUUCACUUUCUAAAGAAAAAAAGGAUGAAUAAUGGGGAAGGGGCAACCGUUCUGCCACAUCAUGAAAAGAAUGUUGGUUUUUAUCCUAAAAGCAAUGGUGAACCACUGAAGAUUUUAAGACCAAGAAUAGCCCGGCAUGGUAGCUUGCUCCUGUAGUCCCAGCUACUUGGG